GUUAUUAAAUGUCUAUCUGUUUAUUUAAUUGAAAAUAAUGAAGUAUAUUGUAAGACACAGAUGAUCUGACAAGCUCGUACGACAGAUGUAAAUGGAGAUUAUUGGAAAUAGUUUUCCUGUGAAGAAAUCCUAAAUGAGGGUUGAGAUGAAGGCAACCAGGUGAUGGGCAGUUCAAGAUUGCUGUCGUUUGAGAAGUUAAUGAACAAAUCUUCUUUCCUGUUGCGGUUGUGAGGUACAAAAUACCCAGAGCAGGUGGCACUUACUCUGGAGUUCAUACAGAAAACUUUCCUGUGAAGAAAUCCUGAACGUGGUUUGAAAUAAAGGCAACCAAGUGGCUAUGCAUUCCUCCAAGACUCUUGCAUGAACAAUUUUGAAAAUCCAUGUAAUAUUUGAGUUUUUAAAUUGAAAGAAAUGGCACUUGCAUUAAACAGUAGUAAAAUGGGAAAUAAUCCAUCCCCUAUAAUGAAUUGCACCACUUCAAUGAUAUUUCUGUUACAAUGAACUUCAAAAUUCUGUUGUCAAGCCACUGGAGUCACAUACUUUAUACUUUUCUGGACCUUGAAAAUGGUAGUUGCAUAGACAAUCAAUAGAGGGACAGAAAGUACCCAGAUUUAACUAAAAAUACUCUUAAUUUCUGUUCUAAAAGUGAAUGUGAGUCUUAUGGGUUUGGAAUGGUAUGAGGCUGAGUAACUGACUGAAUUAACAUUUUUGUGUGAACUAUCCCUCCAAACAAUAUUGUUGUCUCUCAUAAGAAAAAAAAGUUUUGAUUCUUGACUGUUUUACAGUUUGAAGUUUAAAUUUUGUGACCACUUUUUAGUACAACACCUGUAUUGUACAGAUGCUCAUGUUUUCUUUUUUUUUUUUAAUUUUGUCUGUUACUGUUUAAAGCUAAGCUGUCUUUUACGAUACAGGCAUUUUGCCUGAGUUGACACAUUGUUAAAUUAAUUGAGUAUUUCAUAUUGUUUAGUCCUAACCCACUUAAGGCAAACAAAAGCCAUUGAAUGCACU